GGAGCCCUGGCGGUAGCUAUGGGUCCAGUUCAAAGGAUUAUGAAAUGCACUGCUUUCACAUCAAAAAGGAAGAAGAAAGGCAAUACUUGCAACCAAUGAUAAAGAGGUAUUCUGACUUUCAUCUGCCUUUGUGUUAAGCGUGAGAGAGCCAGACAGAAUUGCAGCAGGAACCAGAAGGAGCAAAGAAAAAGAUUACUGUUUCUUUUAUAAAAUGGUUUUUAUCCUACUGGUGUCUCUUUAAAAAUAAAAAUCAACAAAUAAA
rnacentral:lncRNA from 1 species